CUACGGGGGGCUCCAGUGGGGAAUAUUGCACAAUGGGGGAAACCCUGAUGCAGCAACGCCGCGUGGAGGAUGACGCAUUUCGGUGUGUAAACUCCUUUUAUAUAGGAAGAUAAUGACGGUACUAUAUGAAUAAGCACCGGCUAACUCCGUGCCAGCAGCCGCGGUAAUACGGAGGGUGCAAGCGUUACUCGGAAUCACUGGGCGUAAAGCGCGCGCAGGCGGCCUUUUAAGUUGGAUGUGAAAGCCUACGGCUCAACCGUAGAACUGCAUCCAAAACUACUAGGCUAGAGUCUGGGAGGGGAAGAUGGAAUUAGUUGUGUAGGGGUAAAAUCCGUAGAGAUAACUAGGAAUACCAAAAGCGAAGGCAAUCUUCUGGAACAGUACUGACGCUGAGGCGCGAAAGCGUGGGGAGCAAACAGGAUUAGAUACCCGAGUAGUC
rnacentral:rRNA from 1 species